rnacentral:lncRNA from 1 species
UUUAAAAAUAGAAAAGAAAAACUCAGGCUGGUGAGAUGGCUCAGUGGGUAAGAGCACCCGACUGCUCUUCCGAAGGUCCGGAGUUCAAAUCCCAGCAACCACAUGGUGGCUCACAACCAUCCAUAAUGAGAUCUGACUCCCUCUUCUGGAGUGUCUGAAGACAGCUACAGUGUAUUUACAUAUAAUAAAUAAAUAAAUCUUUAAAAAAAAAAAAAAGAAAAGAAAAGAAAAACUCAGACCGUAUUUUACAAAUGGAUGGAGAAAUGAGUUUCUUUUCCUCAUGUUUUGUUUGAAUUCCAAGUCCACCCAACAUCUAGUCAGAGUAUAUCUGAAAGGCUGGGUGCCUUAUUUAGACUAUAGGUCCCUGGGUGAUUAGCACAUGGAUGACAAAUUAAGCCACAGGUAAGAGAACAUGUGUGGCUAGAGAGAAGCACUAA